ensembl:lincRNA
CCCAGGUUGCUACGAUGCAAGAGACUGGCUUCUCUGAAUCGCCGCCUCUGGAGUUCUAGUCAUUGGCAAGGGGAGCAAAGUGUUUGGCCGAACUCUUUCACGUCACUUAGAAGUAUAACAUUAAUAAUCGAAACCAGGCUCUGGCAGGAAUGCUGGGCAAAACUGGCCUUGUGUUCACACAGUGAGGUGGAAAGGACAUGGUGUUUUCCUGAGAUACCGGCAGCCAGACAUAAGAACGCACAUGAGAUUAAAAGCAGCUGUCCAGAAAGUUCCUGAGGACAACCUGCUUCAAAACUUCAGACUGAGAUUGUGAGGGGUUCUUCUGACCAGCACAUGCCCAGUUCUUCUAAGGUAAGCCCAAUACAUUAAUAUAAGCUGUUACUAGAAACAUUUACUAUUUCUUUGCGUGUGAGCAUUCAAACUUCUCUCUUCUGGUCUUGAUAUUGGUUUUUUUUUUGUUUUUUGUUUUUUUUUUCAGUCUCUGGUUUAUACCUAUGUUGAUACAAAGG